GGUUAUAUGUAAAUUAUGGUUAGUUAGUUAGUUAGGUAGUUGUGAGUUAGUUAGACUAACUCACCCCUAUAAAUAAGUCUCAACUAUUGUACUCUCAUUCAUCUUUUGUCAAAUCUAGUUUACUCUACUAUGAGUCACUAUGGGUAUCUCCCACAUGAAUAAACCAUAGUUAGGUUAUAUGUAAAUUAUGGUUAGUUAGUUAGUUAGGUAGUUGUGAGUUAGUUAGACUAACUCACCCCUAUAAAUAAGUCUCAACUAUUGUACUCUCAUUCAUCUUUUGUCAAAUCUAGUUUACUCUACUAUGAGUCACUAUGGGUAUCUCCCACAUGAAUACUCUUAUGCACUCUUCCUUGCUGAUCACUGUGACCUUUAUCCCUGGGAUUCCAUGAUUCAUAACACUAGAGGCUGGUUCCAUAAAUUGAACCUGUGACCUCCUAGUCACAUGGUGCAAUCCCAAUUGCUGUGACUAGUUUCCCCUUUUGGUAGUUUAAAAUAUGUCGCUUGAAGCCCACGUCACAGCAAUAUUCUGACCCUUACUUAUUUUAGUUCUUAUACUUACAUUUGGAUACUUCAUUUUUGGUUGUUUACUUU
rnacentral:lncRNA from 1 species